rfam:Triticum aestivum genome assembly, contig: Triticum_aestivum_CS42_TGACv1_scaffold_321583_4BL
UUUCUACUCCCUCUGUCCGAAAAUACUUGUCAUCAAAAUGGAUAAAAAGAGAUGUAUCUAAAACUAAAAUACGUCUAGAUACAUUUCCUUUUAUCCAUUUUGAUGACAAGUAUUUCCGGACGGAGGGAGUAUUUG